rnacentral:rRNA from 1 species
UACGAAGGGGGCUAGCGUUGCUCGGAAUCACUGGGCGUAAAGCGCACGUAGGCGGGUUGUUAAGUCGGGUGUGAAAUCCCGGGGCUCAACCCCGGGACUGCAUUCGAUACUGUCAGGCUAGAGGUAGGUAGGGGGAGAUCGGAAUUCCUGGUGUAGCGGUGAAAUGCGCAGAUAUCAGGAGGAACACCGGUGGCGAAGGCGGGUCUCUGGGCCGAUACUGACGCUGAGGAGCGAAAGCGUGGGGGAGCAAACAGG